UACGGGGGGGGGCAAGCGUUGUUCGGAAUUACUGGGCGUAAAGGGCUCGUAGGCGGCCAACUAAGUCAUACGUGAAAUCCCUCGGCUUAACCGGGGGAACUGCGUCUGAUACUGGAUGGCUUGAGUUCGGGAGAGGGAUGCGGAAUUCCAGGUGUAGCGGUGAAAUGCGUAGAUAUCUGGAGGAACACCGGUGGCGAAGGCGGCAUCCUGGACCGAUACUGACGCUGAGGAGCGAAAAGCCAGGGGGAGCAAACGGGG
rnacentral:rRNA from 1 species